UACGUAGGGUCCGAGCGUUGUCCGGAAUUAUUGGGCGUAAAGGGCUCGUAGGCGGUUCGUCACGUCGGGAGUGAAAACUCGGGGCUUAACCCCGAGCCUGCUUCCGAUACGGGCAGACUAGAGGUAGGCAGGGGAGAGCGGAACUCCUGGUGUAGCGGUGGAAUGCGCAGAUAUCAGGAGGAACACCGGUGGCGAAGGCGGUUCUCUGGCAUGCCCUGACGCUGAGGCGCGAAGGCGUGGGGGAGCGAACGGG
rnacentral:rRNA from 1 species